rnacentral:hammerhead_ribozyme from 1 species
ACGCGGAUGACGAGUCCUAAACAAGACGAAAUGCUCAUCCUGGAU